AUCGCACAGAUGCGACAAACUGGCGCAGCUGGUUAUAUAAUCCCUUGGAUUCGGAUUUGGAAAGUGUUCUCUAUCUAAAUAUAUAUGUACUGUAUAUAGUUUCCAUUUCGGGUUUUUUCGUCGCUGCCGCUGUUGAAGCAGAUCACACCUGGAGUACUGUGUCCAAUUCUGAGCGCCACAAUUUUAGAAGGAUGUUGACAAGCUGGAACGUGUGCAGAGGAGGGUGACCAAGAUGAUCAAGGGUCUGGAAGCCAAGCCUUUUGAGGAACGGGUGAGGGAGUUGGGUAUGUUAGCCUGCAAAAGAGAAGACUUAGAGGGAACAUGAUAGCCAUCUUCAAAUAUCGAAAAGGUUGUUACAUUGAGGAUGGAGCAAGCUUCUUUCUCCCUGCUCUGCAUAUGCAUCCGAGUAUUAUAUUAGUGUCCUGCCAACCUAGCAGUUCGAAAGCACGUAAAAGUAGAUAAAUAGGUACCGCUUCAGCGGGAAGGUAAACUGUGUUUCCAUGUGCUGCUCUGGUUCGCCAGAAGCGGCUUAGUCAUGCUGGCCACAUGACCUGGAAGCUGUACGCCGGCUCCCUCGGCCAGUAAAGCGAGAUGAGCGCCGCAACCCCAGAGUCGGUCACGACUGGACCUCAUGGUCAGGGGUCCCUUUACCUUUUUAUUAUAUUAGUGGCUAAAAUUUAGUCAGUUACGAAGCGGAACAAGUGGUUGGUGACUUUUCACACUUGGAAGGAAAUGAAAUUGAUUGGGACUGAAAGAGCACAUGGUCCUUGCAAUACCCAGGGGUUUCAGAUGGACAUGUCCUCAUUACCUGAUGUUUUGUGGUCUGAGGGCCCUUGCCGCAGCAACCUUGCUGAAGCUAAACUGCUCUGGGCCUGGUAAGUGCUUGGAGGGAGACUGCCAGAGAAACCUUGUACGGUGGAACCUUGGUUCUCGAACUUAAUCCGCUCCGGGAGUCCAUUCGACUCCCGAAACUGUUCGAAAACCAAAGUGCAGCUUCCAAUUGGGUGCAGAGCUUCCUGCACUCAAGCGGAAGCCGUGUCGGACAUUCGGCUUCUGGAAAACGUUCGCAAACUGGAAAAAGUACUUCCGGGUUUGUGGCGUUCGACAGCCGAUUUGUUCUGCGACUAAGCCGUUCGAGAACCAAGGUUCCACUGUACUGCUGCCCUUGAGACUGACCCAGAAACUCCAGCAGGUGCAGAAUGCUGCAGCAAGACUCCUUACGGGGUCCUCGCUGCGAGAUCACAUUCACCUAGUGCUAUUCCAGCUGCACUGGCUCCCAGUGGAGUACACAAUCAGGUUUAAGGUGCUGGUUUUAACCUUUAAAGCCCUAUACGGCCUAGGACCCUCGUACCUACCGGACCGCCUCUCCUGGUAUGUCCCACAGAGGAAUUUACGAUCUUCAAACAAAAACAUCUUGGAGGUCCCGGGCCACAGGGAAGUUAGGCUGGCCUCAUCCAGAGCCAGGGCUUUUUCGGCUGUGGCUCCGAUCUGGUGGAACGCUCUGCCACAAGAGACUAGGGCCCUGCGGGACUUGACAUCUUUCCGCAGGGCCUGCAAGGCAGAGCUGUUCCACCAGGCCUUUGGCCAAGGCACAGCCUGACCCCCUCCUUUGGCAAUCUUCACAGAACUCUAGCCCAAUGGUUGCCAUCAAUUUGAUUUGAAUUAAUUUUAUAAUGAAAUGAUUUUAGAAUGUUGUAUUAUUUUAUUGUUGUUAGCCGCCCUGAGCCCGGCUUCGGCUGGGGAGGGCAGGAUAUAAAUAAAAAGUUGUUGUUGUUGUUGUUGUUAUUCCACGAUAGAAGGAAGGGAGGACACACCAUAAAUGUCCUAAAUAAAUCAUACGUCAGUGAAGAAACAUUCCAGAUAGACUGUCCUCAUGGAACUUCACUCACUUGCAGGCCGGAGGUGGAGAAUAUACCCCUGUACAUUUAAAGAAGAGGAAAUGCUCUGGCAGUACAUAUAAAAGGACCAUAAAGCCAUAUAACAUAGAGG